CUCCAGACUCCUACGGGAGGCAGCAGUGGGGAAUAUUGCACAAUGGGGGAAACCCUGAUGCAGCAACGCCGCGUGAGUGAAGAAGUAUUUCGGUAUGUAAAGCUCUAUCAGCAGGGAAGAAGAUGACGGUACCUGAAUAAGAAGCCCCGGCUAACUACGUGCCAGCAGCCGCGGUAAUACGUAGGGGGCAAGCGUUAUCCGGAUUUACUGGGUGUAAAGGGAGCGUAGACGGCAGUGCAAGUCCGGAGUGAAAGCCCGGGGCUCAACCCUGGGACUGCUCUGGAAACUGUAAAGCUGGAGUGCGGGAGGGGCAGGCGGAAUUCCUGGUGUAGCGGUGAAAUGCGUAGAUAUCAGGAGGAACACCGGCGGCGAAGGCGGCCUGCUGGACCGUAACUGACGUUGAGGCUCGAAAGCGUGGGGAGCAAACAGGAUUAGAUACCCCAGUAGCA
rnacentral:rRNA from 1 species